rnacentral:rRNA from 1 species
GUCCACGCCGUAAACGAUGGAUACUUGGUGUUGGAGGUAUUGACCCCUUCAGUGCCGAAGCUAACGCGUUAAGUAUCCCGCCUGGGAAGUACGGUCGCAAGAUUAAAACUCAAAGAAAUUUACGGGGCCGCACAAGCAGUGGAGCAUGUGGUUCAAUUCGAUGCAACGCGAAGAACCUUACCUGGGUUUGACAUGUACUGGAAGACUACCAGAGAUGGUGUCGCCUUCGGGCCGGUACACAGGUGCUGCAUGGCUGUCGU